rnacentral:lncRNA from 1 species
GAGAUUGGUAGGGAAUCUAAGGAUAUGUAGAACAAAUGAUAAUGGUAAUUCGGAAGUGCAUUUGAUAGAUCCUUUUUCAGAAAUAGAGGCAAAGGAACUAUCAGCAAGGUGAACUUUAUCAUGAUCGGAACAAAGAAUAUAAGAUAAAAUCUCUAAAGGAUCCAGUCCUAUGAUUAGAUGCUCCAGAGUCAACUAUCCAUGG